rnacentral:rRNA from 1 species
AGCUUGCUUUAUAUAACUUAGCAGCGAACGGGUGAGUAACACGUAGAUAAUCUAUCCUAUACUGGGGGAUAGCCCGAUGAAAGUUGGAUUAAUACCGCAUAUAGCUAUAUAGUUGCAUGAUUAUGUAGUGAAAGAUUUAUUGGUAUAGGAGGAGUCUGCGGCACAUUAGCUAGUAGGUGAGGUAAAGGCUUACCUAGGCGACGAUGUGUAGCCGGUCUGAGAGGAUGAACGGCCACAAUGGAACUGAGACACGGUCCAUACUCCUACGGGAGGCAGCAGUGGGGAAUAUUGCACAAUGGGGGAAACCCUGAUGCAGCAACGCCGCGUGAGUGAAGAAGGUUUUCGGAUUGUAAAGCUCUGUUAGCAGGGAAGAGGAAGGACGGUACCUGCAGAGGAAGCCACGGCUAACUACGUGCCAGCAGCCGCGGUAAUACGUAGGUGGCAAGCGUUGUUCGGAAUAACUGGGCGUAAAGGAUGCGUAGGCGGUUAAACAAGUUAUAUGUUAAAUAUAUAGGCUUAACCUGUAGAAAGCAUAUAAAACUGUUUAACUAGAGUGCAGGAGAGGUAAAUGGAAUUCCUAGUGUAGCGGUGAAAUGCGUAGAGAUUAGGAAGAACACCAGUGGCGAAGGCGACUUACUGGACUGUAACUGACGCUGAGGCAUGAGAGCAUGGGGAGCAAACAGGAUUAGAUACCCUGGUAGUCCAUGCUGUAAACGAUGGGUACUAGGUGUGGGUUGUGAAUAACAAUUCGUGCCGUCGCAAACGCAAUAAGUACCCCGCCUGAGGAGUA